GAUGAACGCUGGCGGCGUGCCUAAUACAUGCAAGUCGAGCGAACAGACGAGGAGCUUGCUCCUCUGACGUUAGCGGCGGACGGGUGAGUAACACGUGGACAACCUACCUAUAAGACUGGGAUAACUUCGGGAAACCGGAGCUAAUACCGGAUAAUAUAUUGAACCGCAUGGUUCAAUAGUGAAAGACGGUUUUGCUGUCACUUAUAGAUGGAUCCGCGCCGCAUUAGCUAGUUGGUAAGGUAACGGCUUACCAAGGCGACGAUGCGUAGCCGACCUGAGAGGGUGAUCGGCCACACUGGAACUGAGACACGGUCCAGACUCCUACGGGAGGCAGCAGUAGGGAAUCUUCCGCAAUGGGCGAAAGCCUGACGGAGCAACGCCGCGUGAGUGAUGAAGGUCUUCGGAUCGUAAAACUCUGUUAUUAGGGAAGAACAAAUGUGUAAGUAUCUAUGCACGUCUUGACGGUACCUAAUCAGAAAGCCACGGCUAACUACGUG
rnacentral:rRNA from 1 species